rnacentral:rRNA from 1 species
GAUGAACGCUGGCGGCGUGCCUAAUACAUGCAAGUCGAGCGAACAGACGAGGAGCUUGCUCCUCUGACGUUAGCGGCGGACGGGUGAGUAACACGUGGAUAACCUACCUAUAAGACUGGGAUAACUUCGGGAAACCGGAGCUAAUACCGGAUAAUAUAUUGAACCGCAUGGUUCAAUAGUGAAAGACGGUUUUGCUGUCACUUAUAGAUGGAUCCGCGCCGCAUUAGCUAGUUGGUAAGGUAACGGCUUACCAAGGCAACGAUGCGUAGCCGACCUGAGAGAGUGAUCGGCCACACUGGAACUGAGACACGGUCCAGACUCCUACGGGAGGCAGCAGUAGGGAAUCUUCCGCAAUGGGCGAGAGCCUGACGGAGCAACGCCGAGUGAGUGAUGAAGGUCCUCGGAUCGUAAAACUCUGUUAUUAGGGAAGAACAAAUGUGUAAGUAACUAUGCACGUCUUGACGGUAACUAAUCAGAAAGCCACGGCUAACUACGUG